GGGGAUGACAAGGCUUUGACGUGAAGAUAUGCACUUUUACAAAUGGCAAGGACGCACCUAUGCGUUAAAUGGAAAACAUUAACUGCAAAUCUCAAAGAAGAAAUGCAGUCUAUUGUCUCAACAGCUCUUGCAAAAUUGGAAGGAAAGAUGCCUUCGGCUUCUCAAUUUCAAUAUGCUUUUGCUGCUUAAUGCAGUAGAUUUCCCAUAAAGUGACCUCCGAUAACUUUUUAGGGUACAACCUUCGGGGUACGACUCUACCCAAAAGAUCCCGAUCUUUUUUAGAGUUUGACAAGUAUCAAAAUCGGCAGCUGAUUCAUGGUCUGAAUAUCACCCAGGUCGGCACGAGGAAAAGAUACUCUACUCCUUGCAAAACACUUGUAUUAUUGCCUUUACGGACCCGGGUUCGACUCCCGGCAUCUCCACUU
rnacentral:tmRNA from 2 species